rnacentral:lncRNA from 1 species
AUGUCCAAGCUGAAAGCUAUCUGGUGUACAAUAUUAUGUGCAAUGGAGAGAUUGAGUGCAGCAACACCUUGGAAGAUGAGCUCGAUCAAGCUCUACCGAGCCAGGCCUUCAUUUACCGUCCUGUUCGACAGCGUGUUUACUCACUCAUUUUGGGAGAAUGUAGAGGUGGUGUUAGCUCCUCCACAGUGAAGGAGUGGUUUGUGUACUCUGGGAACCCGCUGA